rnacentral:rRNA from 1 species
GCUUGCUCCCUGAAGUCAGCGGCGGACGGGUGAGUAACACGUGGGCAACCUGCCUGUAAGACUGGGAUAACUUCGGGAAACCGGAGCUAAUACCGGAUAAUGCAUAACCUCUCAUGAGGCUAUGCUGAAAGAUGGUUUCGGCUAUCACUUACAGAUGGGCCCGCGGCGCAUUAGCUAGUUGGUGAGGUAACGGCUCACCAAGGCAACGAUGCGUAGCCGACCUGAGAGGGUGAUCGGCCACACUGGGACUGAGACACGGCCCAGACUCCUACGGGAGGCAGCAGUAGGGAAUCUUCCGCAAUGGACGAAAGUCUGACGGAGCAACGCCGCGUGAGUGAUGAAGGUUUUCGGAUCGUAAAACUCUGUUGUUAGGGAAGAACAAGUGCCGGAGUAACUGCCGGCACCUUGACGGUACCUAACCAGAAAGCCACGGCUAACUACGUGCCAGCAGCCGCGGUAAUACGUAGGUGGCAAGCGUUGUCCGGAAUUAUUGGGCGUAAAGCGCGCGCAGGCGGUCUCUUAAGUCUGAUGUGAAAGCCCACGGCUCAACCGUGGAGGGUCAUUGGAAACUGGGGGACUUGAGUGCAGAAGAGGAAAGUGGAAUUCCACGUGUAGCGGUGAAAUGCGUAGAGAUGUGGAGGAACACCAGUGGCGAA